UAGGGAAUAUUGCAAAAUGGGCGAAAGCCCGAUGCAGCAACGCCGCGUGGGCGAUGAAGGCCUUCGGGUCGUAAAGCCCUUUUUGAGGGGAUGAGGAAGGACAGUACCCUCAGAAUAAGCCUCGGCUAACUACGUGCCAGCAGCCGCGGUAAAACGUAGGAGGCGAGCGUUAUCCGGAUUUACUGGGCGUAAAGCGCGUGCAGGCGGAUUGGAGAGUUGGAUGUGAAAGCUCCCGGCUUAACUGGGAGAGGUCGUUCAAUACUUCCAGUCUUGAGUGCAGUAGAGGGAAGUGGAAUUCCGGGUGUAGUGGUGAAAUGCGUAGGUAUCCGGAGGAGCACCAGUGGCGAAAGCGGCUUCCUGGACUGUAACUGACGCUCAGACGCGAAAGCUAGGGUAGCAAACG
rnacentral:rRNA from 1 species